rnacentral:lncRNA from 1 species
GUACAGUAAAAAGAAAAUUUACCCCGACCAGUUGGCAUGCACGUGGUUGUUGAGAUCGGCCUUUGUUAUGCCCGACCUUUCAAUUUUUGUUUGCGGGGAAAUUGCAGCUGGCAGAGACUGUUCACUGAUCUUGAUGCAGAACACAAGGGAAAGAUCAACAAGAGAGAAGACAGAGAGCGGUUCUAGUCUCCGAAGGGUCCCUCCAAACAAGAAGAAUUAGAAGAACACCGAUUGUUGAUAGUUCCUGAGGCGAAGACCAAUUCUUUUCUGCGAAACCCUGGUUCCCAAAUCAAUACCGAAUCCGGAGUUCUUCUUAGCAUUCAGCCCACGGAGCUCAAAUUCCCCUGUACCAUGGUUCAACUUUGAUAGCAGCAAGCCUUUCUGGCCUCCCAGCUCUGCAUCAAAAAUUUGAUCUUCCUGCUCCAUUUGUAUUGCACACUGAUUGUCCCCAUUAUUGGCGCUAUCACCAGCCAGGUGAGUCGGAGGAGGAAUUCUCAACCAGAUUAGCCAAUGAUUUGGAGAAUCUUAUCCUCAAAGAAGGACCAGAGACUAUUGCUGCGUUCAUUGCCGAACCUGUCAUAGGUGCAGGAGGUGUGAUACCUCCCCCUGCAACUUAUUUUGACAAGGCAAUGGAUAAAGUUUAAACGUUGUAUUCAUGCUACCUGAAGGACAACUUAAAAAGAUUGGAGAAAGAGGAAAGAUGCCGAGGACUUGUGCAGGGAAAGGAGAAGACUGCUGGAGAUUAAAAGGUGGCAGUUUGCAUAUAUAUCUUGAUUGCUGGAAGACCCCACUCCCGUCCUGAAUUUGUUUUUGCAGAAGUCUUAGUUUAAUCACUAUUUGUUAAAACCUUAUUCCUUUCAAAAAUAGAUACAAUGUCAGUUGUAUAGUAUAAUAAAGUGAACUCAUGCUAUGGGUUUAAGAUAUGUAACAGGCCAAUCAAGAUCCAAUGUGUUUUAAGUGUAGAAGUUGCAAUUCAAAAUACUCAGUAUUUUGUCUUUCAAGGAGAGUUGCAGAAAAUGGGAUUCUGAUGUUGUAUUGUGUGAAAUUGAAGUUCUAGU